GAAAUCACGUCGUAUGCCUCGUAAUAUUUUAACCGGGCCGGAGGUUUAUUCGGUUUUCAGGACCGUGCCGUGUCGCGUACAUUUAUCCGACCGUUUCCACGCACUAUUAUUCGUUCGCCAUAAAUGUCCAGUUCUGUCAACCUUCUAAAUCUCCUGCUUCCUUCUAAACCGAAUAUUUCCGGUUUAAUUUCGGACUACCUUAAUGGUAUUUCCCCUGUCGGUUUCUGUUCCAGCACCGUCGUUUUAUGCAUAU